rnacentral:lncRNA from 1 species
GGUGCUCAGUGUUGUGACAAGCUGUGGGUCCUCAAAGCUGAGUACUGAAGGCUGAUUUCUGCUUCUGUUUUCAAGCCUUUCUGGACCCACUGAGGGAAGACAUUUUGUUGCUUGAAUUCAGAGGAGAAAGACAAGGGUGUUCCAGUGGCCAGCAUCCUCCUUCCUCCUGAUUUUUCAUAACAAGUGGUCAUUUCACACAGAAAUCCUGGGAGGUGAGCUGUAAAGAAUAAGCUUGGAUGGACAAGUGAGUGGCCUCUCGGCUUUGGGUGGGGGACACUGGUCCCUACUCUGGAGGAAAAAGCUGACAUAGACAGCUGCAAGGUGCUCAGUGUUGUGACAAGCUGUGUGUCCUCAAAGCUGAGUACUGAAGGUUGAUUUCUGCUUCUGUUUUCAAGCCUUUCUGGACCCACUGAGGGAAGACAUUUUGUUGCUUGAAUUCAGAGGAGAAAGACAAGGGUGUUCCAGUGGCCAGCAUCCUCCUUCCACCUUAUUUUUCAUAACAAGUGGUCAUUUCACACAGAAAUCCUGGGAGGCCCACUGAGAUCCAUCUCCUGGCUUCUCCUCUGCCCACAAGCAUGCAGUUGCAUUUAUCCCCCUGCUUCACACAGACUCAUCAAGCCUCCCCAGGGAGUUUUUAAGCUGCAAGGUGCUCAGUGUUGUGACAAGCUGUGGGUCCUCAAAGCUGAGUACUGAAGGCUGAUUUCUGCUUCUGUUUUCAAGCCUUGCUGGACCCACUGAGGGAAGACAUUUUGUUGCUUGAAUUCAGAGGAGAAAGACAAGGGUGUUCCAGUGGCCAGCAUCCUCCUUCCACCUGAUUUUUCAUAACAAGUGGUCAUUUCACACAGAAAUCCUGGGAGCUGCAAGGUGCUCAGUGUUGUGACAAGCUGUGGGUCCUCAAAGCUGAGUACUGAAGGCUGAUUUCUGCUUCUGUUUUCAAGCCUUUCUGGACCCACUGAGGGAAGACAUUUUGUUGCUUGAAUUCAGAGGUCAACAUUUGUUUGUCUUUUUUCAUACUGACCUUUUUUAAAGGCAGUUUUUUAAAUGACAUUCCUGCACUGCAGUAAAUUUUCUUUUCCUUUCUCAUUAACACUCAUCCCUGUCACAUGCAGACAUUUGAUAUGUGUUAAGUGUACAGUGCACAUUGUGAGUGCUUCUUCUAACUUUUUCUGUCCAAAUUCUCCUAUCUGUGUCAUUAAACUUUAUUUUAAGUGUA